rfam:Angiostrongylus costaricensis strain Costa Rica genome assembly, scaffold: ACOC_scaffold0002297
UCCGGUGUGGUCUAGUGGUUAGGAUUUGCGGCUAUCACCCGCAAAGCCUGGGUUCGAUUGCUGGCAAAGGAA